UACGUAGGGUGCAAGCGUUAAUCGGAAUUACUGGGCGUAAAGCGUGCGCAGGCGGUUCUAUAAGACAGAUGUGAAAUCCCCGGGCUCAACCUGGGAACUGCAUUUGUGACUGUAGAGCUGGAGUACGGUAGAGGGGGAUGGAAUUCCGCGUGUAGCAGUGAAAUGCGUAGAUAUGCGGAGGAACACCAGUGGCGAAAGCGGCUUCCUGGUCCGACACCGACGUUCAGGCACGAAAGCGUGGGGGAGCAAACAGG
rnacentral:rRNA from 1 species